rnacentral:rRNA from 1 species
UACGAAGGGGGGCUAGCGUUGCUCGGAAUCACUGGGCGUAAAGCGCACGUAGGCGGCUUUCUAAGUCAGGGGGUGAAAUCCUGGAGCUCAACUCCAGAACUGCCUUUGAUACUGGAGAGCUUGAGUCCGGAAGAGGUGAGUGGAACUCCGAGUGUAGAGGUGAAAUUCGUAGAUAUUCGGAAGAACACCAGUGGCGAAGGCGGCUCACUGGUCCGGUACUGACGCUGAUGUGCGAAAGCGGUGGGGAGCGAACAGG